ensembl:lncRNA
GGCUGACAUCCUUCACAGAUUGCAUGAUAGACUGGAACACAUCAUGGAGAGGCAACCUCUUGACAUUGAAGGGCUACGGUUGCAUGCUGUCAGGAUUUAGUUUUAUUAUGUGCUUAUGAUAUAGUGAAUGUAGGAACAUCUAUUGUCGGUAUUUGUUUACUUACCGCUUACUUAGAGUUUGCAUUGCAAUUUGCACAUAUUUUUACUCAUGGCUUUCUUGCAAACAAUUUGUACUUUAAAAAAUAAGUACAAUUGAAAACCAAACAUUGUACUGCUUUACUGUGGUUCAAGAAAGUUGUCAUUUGUAUGGGAUAACUAUAUUGUUAUUGAACACUUGAAUGGAAUAAUCAUAAGAAUAAUCAACUUCAAUUCAAGUGAAACACCUGAUCAUCUAAGUCCAAAACCAGAACUGAUGGAACUGUUGGCCAUCAUAAUUUCCUGGUGGAACAUCUUCUGGUCUGGAAGUGGCUGGGGCACUUCUUCAAUCGGGUAAGUUGAGGUUACGACUUCGACCAUGAGGUUUCUCUCGAGCAGCUCCCACCCAACGCAGAACUUCAUGAGGUCAUGGAGCACCUCAAAUCCAUUUAAUUGAAAUGAGAGCCACUAAAACUAUAUAAUAUAUCAUAAACACCAUGCAUAGAAUUAUAUCUGUAUCCCAUUUUGUAUGCAGAUUUUGGCAGAACUGACAUUUUUCUUUUUUUUUGUUCACAGCCAUCGUAGCACCCUAACAAGUAGGUGCAAGAAGAUGCAAUAAUAAGUAUGUAACUUCGAGAGGAUCAGACAAGUACUGCUGUGUCACCCUGUCACACAUCACACAGGUGUAUGAAUGUGAGUUAGUCCUGCGAUUGGCUGGCGACCAGUCCAGGGUGUAUCCUGUCUCUCGCCCGAAGUUGGCUUGGAUAGACUCCAGCCCCCCCGCGACCCUGUGUGCAGGAUAAGCGGUUUCACAAUGGAUGGAUGGAUGGAACUUGAAGCAGAGCGUCGUCACUACCAGACUCCCUCUCCUCCUUCCUCCUCAUGUCAUCGUUGUCCUUGAGCGGCGUCUCCGGUCUCCCUUCGAUGUUUCACAGUCUGAUGCUAAAUCUUUUGCAUUCUUUCGCUGGCUGGUGUAAAUUGUUUUCUAUUUUUUUUGAGACUCAGACGAGUCCUUAAAAAACCGACACACAAAUGUUAAGCGAUCCGCAAACAAAUCCAGUGUUAUCCGGAAACGAACAAAGACACUUUCUUUAAGCAGUGUUACAGGAAAAUGUCUUUUAACAAGACCAUGAUUGUAAUGCAAGACAAUGCUCCGUCACAUGCAUCGAUAUACUUCACUGCAUGGCUAGCCAGGAAAGGCCUUAAAAGGUGAAAAAAUAAUGACAUGGCCCCUUCCUCACCUGACCUAAACCACACAAUUUUGCUGCAUAAAUUGUUGAUCGUCAACAGAUCAAGAAACUGACAGACUCCUUGAAUGGCAGGCUUAUUACUGUUAUUGAAAAGGGUGGCCAUAUUGGUCAGUUUCUUUUCAGGAAUGUUUAUUUGUAAAUUUUCAGUUGUUGGGUUAUUGGUUUAUUAUUCUCACUCUCAACAGAUGGAAAUAAACAAGUGAGAUGGGAAAUCUUUCGUUUGUCCAUUCUGUUGCAUAAUAAUUGUGCACACUAAUAAUUGCCCAAUAAUUGUGCACACAUAGACAUUCUCAUAAGAAAGCCAAAACCUCACAUUUACUUUCUUAAAUAUUUAGGUUUGGGAUUUAUUGUUGUUUAGGAUUGACCGAGAGCACUGUAGUUAGUCAAUAACAAAAAUAAUCCUCAAAAAUACAUCUU